UAAUACGUAGGGGGCAAGCGUUUUCCGGAUUUAUUGGGCGUAAAGCGCACGCAGGUGGCUUUUUAAGUCGGAUGUGAAAUCUCUUAGCAAAACUAAGAAAUUGCAUCCGAAACUGGAUUGCUUGAGGUCGGGAGAGGAGAGUGGAAUUCUCGGUGUAGCGGUGAAAUGCGCAGAUAUCGAGAAGAACACCAUUAGCGAAGGCGGCUCUCUGGAACGAUACUGACACUAAGGUGCGAAAGCUAGGGUAGCAAACAGGAUUAGAUACCCUGGUAGUCCUAGCUGUAAACGAUGGGCACUAGAUGUAGGGAGAUAUCGACUCUUCCUGUGUCGUAGCUAACGCGUUAAGUGCCCCGCCUGGGGAGUACGACCGCAAGGUUA
rnacentral:rRNA from 1 species